rnacentral:lncRNA from 1 species
CAAUGUUUGGGAUAUGUGUGGAGGUAUUUACUACUAGGUUAUAUUUUUGCAUUGAUUACAUUAUAUUUUUGCUUUCUUUUUUGUUUCUUUUUGCAUCUUUUUGCCCCAUAAACACACACCAAAAUUUUUUCACACAUUUUUCACUUUUUACACACACACACAUAGAAUUUUGACUUAGCUUUUGCUCUACUCAGCAUAGAUAACAAGGUUAAAAGAGCUUCCUAU